GCCGGGCACUGUGGUCUAUGCCUAUAAUCCCAGCGACUCGGGAGGCUGACGCAGAAGGAUUGUUUAGGGACAGCCCGGGCAAUUUAGUGAGAUUCUUUGUCAA
rnacentral:sRNA from 1 species